rnacentral:rRNA from 1 species
GAUGAACGCUGGCGGCGUGCCUAAUACAUGCAAGUCGAGCGAACGGACGAGAAGCUUGCUUCUCUGAUGUUAGCGGCGGACGGGUGAGUAACACGUGGAUAACCUACCUAUAAGACUGGGAUAACUUCGGGAAACCGGAGCUAAUACCGGAUAAUAUUUUGAACCGCAUGGUUCAAAAGUAAAAGACGGUCUUGCUGUCACUUAUAGAUGGAUCCGCGCUGCAUUAGCUAGUUGGUAAGGUAACGGCUUACCAAGGCAACGAUGCAUAGCCGACCUGAGAGGGUGAUCGGCCACACUGGAACUGAGGCACGGUCCAGACACCUACGGGAGGCAGCAGGAGGGAAUCUUCCGCAAUGGGCGAAAGCCUGACGGAGCAACGCCGCGUGAGUGAUGAAGGUCUUCGGAUCGUAAAACACUGUUAUUAGGGAAGAACAUAUGUGUAAGUAACAGUGCACAUCUUGACGGUACCUAAUCAGAAAGCCACGGCUAACUACGU